rnacentral:sRNA from 1 species
GGGCUUGAACAUGCAACUUGCUUUCGAAGACGCUAGGAUUACUGGAUUUGGAUUCCUCUGCUUGUUGUGAUGAAUGGGUUUGUUAAAUCAGGUUGUAUUGACUGCUUGUGUGUGUAGAAUAGCUGAUCUCUGAUUGCUAUGGUAUGUGGUUUACGCGUAUGUUAUGUUUUUUGUUGUGGUGACUUGCAUAGUAUGUGGGAUAUGUGUCAUGAUGCUCUCUGCUUGAUGUAUGUAGUCUGUGAGGAAGUAUUAUUCCUGCCUGCUUCAGUGUGAGGCGUAUUGAUGAUUUGUUGUGGUGUUUUGUGAUAUGAUGGAAUUGUGAGUGUAUGCUAUGUUGUAGAUGCAUAUAUAUGUAUUCCGAUGAGAUAUGUGUGAUAGGUAGAUGAAUGAUAUAUUGCUUUUUGACUUGUUAUAUGAUCUGGGUAUGAUGUAUAGCAGCUGUUCUGACAUGUGUGUUAGGUGGGAGUGUUUGUGAAGUAUAUCAUCUCUCUCCCUUUUCUUCUUGAAUUGUCUCUCCUUUUAUAUUGCCUCUGACUAACCUCUUGGGUUGCCAAUUGAUAACCCUCUGGACUGCCCUUGAUUACUACACAUUACCUUCUUUAUGAGUAUUAUCAAUGCUUAACUAUUUGUAACUGAGUCAGACUUUUGGUAUUUUCUGAUUAUUCUCCUUUUAACUGCCCACUUUUGCUCUUUAAUAAAGUGUAACUGAAAUGCCAACAACCAUGAUUUUAUAUCUCCUUAAUAAGUUUUCAUGGGUAAUUUUCCUUAUUUCUAGGUAAACAUUGCAUCUUUAACUGGACUGACAUUGUCAUUUUUGAUAUGAUUACUUGUUGUCUUCUGACUUUUUCCUCAUGGUUGUUUAUUUUCCUUUGUAUUAACUCCAUAUUUGCUUUGUUAGUGCAUUCUAGUUAUCUGUUUUGAAAUCUUUGGCAUCGUGUGAUCAUUUUGAUUGCUCCACUAAUGUGUAACUUAAAGGAUAUGCCAUUUGACUUGCUUCUUUUUGCAACUCACGAUUGAAUCACUCUCCCUCUAUCUCUUUCUUUUUGCUUUUCAAUAUUGAUCCACACCAUGACUAUUGGCUAGAUGCAUAUUUGUUUUGCUAUCUUACUCAUCUUGAUCAUUCUAUUAUGUCACUUUACUGCUUUGCUGAAUUAAACAGUGUGAACUUGGCAUUUUAUGGCUUCCUUUGGUGAUGUCUCUUAAACUAUCCUCUCUUACCAUACGCUUGAGUCCAGAUUAUUCUUCAACCAUCAUGAGUUCUCCACCCUUUCUACCAUGACAGUGGGUAAGUGCUGUUUGCUUGCCUUUUUCCCUUGAAUAUCAAUGCUUUUGGGAGAUUUGCUCUGAACAAGCUGCUAAUUUAUCGUUUGUAUGUGUGCCAUUGCAGAUUGAGAUUAUCACUAGCCUCUCCAUGCAUCCUGUUACGGCCAACAACCUUAUAACAAGUCCAGUCCCUCCUUACAAAGCUCAUCACUAUGGUGUAGGUUGAUUUUCCAACUAUGAAGAUGGUGCGUGAAAGUGGAGGCUGCACUAGCGGACUUGUUGCUGCCCGUAGGCUUAGGUCUCCUUUCAGUGUCUAAAAUUAUAUUUGGCUUGCUGCUCAUCUAGCACUAGGACUUUUUGUAUAUGCUCCAUUUUAUGACCAUUGGUGUCAAAGAAUUGGAUUGACUGAACGAGGCUAAUGAUAUUAAAAAAAAUAGUUUUAUUGCAUAUGUAACAACAUAGGACUUGUUUUGUUAUGGUUUUGAAGAAGACAUGAUAUUGAACUAUUUAUUAAUAUUCGAAGAUAAAUGCGGCCAGACAAAAUUGAGUGUUCACAAAGAAGAAGCAAAUUUAGUUUGAUAGUAUUUCAUUAAUCCAUAUUUCACUCCAUUGAAUACUCAAGGAGCAGUUUACAACAAAGUAACUAUUAUUUAAUAGAGAAAAACAGAGAAGAUUCAGAGAGAAUAGAGAGAGUUUCCACUAGAUAUUUCUCCCCUCCUUUUGUGCUCCUUUGUCUCUAUAUAUAAUCACGUAAACGUGAAUUCUCUUGCCUGGUUCUGUUGCUACGCCUCAGCCCCUGAUUUUGAGGAUCCGUAACUGUAUUCUCUUUCCUUGUUGAUUCAGCAUGUGGAUUUGUUGGGGUAUGAGCUGAGCUCUUUGUGAUUUUGCUGGUAUGAGGGCUGAUUGAGCAUUUCCAUUUGUUACAGUCAACUGAUGUCUCCGAAGCAAGAAUGAUGGGUUGUUCUUGCUUAAUCUUUGAUCUAGAUUUCU